rnacentral:lncRNA from 1 species
AUGAUAGACAACGAGUUGUUCACAUUGGAGGAGGACGAACGGCUCAUCGAAGAAAUCGCCAAGAGUCCAGAGCUCUACGAUCCCCAUCACGCUGGCUACAAGCAAGUGACAGUGAAGGACCAGCAUUGGGCGGAAAUUGCUAAGAAACUUGAUAAAGCUGUCGAUCACUGUAAAAAGAGAUGGAAAAAUCUCAGAGAUAAUUAUUUCAAGCAAUUAAAGUCGGGACCAAACAAAAUCAGGAGGAGAAAAAAUACCCUCUUACAAAAAUUGGCGUUUUUGAGCAACAUCGAACCGAGAAAGCCCGUAGUGGAAGCUCCGCCACAAAAGCGUCCUCGCCUCCGAGCCCCGACCGACGAGGGUCUCUCCGUCGAUUCCUCAAACCAACAGGAAACCCUCAUGGACACGGAGGAGGUUUUCCAACCGGUGAUCCAUCAAAUGCAAGACUUCCAACAGACCGAGCACCAACCCAUGAGCGAAACUGCCACGACUGAGAACGAUCCUCUCAAAGACGUGGACAUCGUCGAGUUGCUCUCCGGGGUCCUGAAAAGGCGGGACCAAGAAAACGCCAAUUUGAUCAAUCACAUUCUGAGCCUUCAAAACCAACGCAAAAGUGAGGACGAGCUUGAACUUUUCUUCAAGUGCAUCCUAUUGACCAUGAGGAAGUUACCGCCAGCUGUUGUUUCUGAGCUGAAGGGUAAAAUAUUUGCCUUGGUUUCAGAGCAAGAAAUCAAGAUGCUGCAACCCACGGCGAGGCCUGAUUCCAGCAUGUCGAUUAAUUCUGACAUCCAACAUUAGAAUCCCCGUUUUUGCUUGACACACUGUUAAAAGCCGGGAAGCGAAAUUCGGUGCCGGAGUCUAUGUAGCGUCCAAAAACUCUGAUUGAUAAGAUUGAUAUUCUUUGUGUAAAGUGAAAUUAGCACCAUAAAAGCGUACGACACUCCGCAAAAAGAGUCGAUUCCGAAAUAGUGAAAGGCUUUUCUUUAGGAGCAUAGAUUUUGAUCCGCAUCAAUUUAAUAACUCGGGGUUUUGGGACGCUCUACAGACUCCGGCACAGAAGUUCACUCCAAAUUUUUAACAGUAGGUACACUUGUUACCACCCGUGAUGCUAGUACGUUUCCCCUCAUAUUUAAGUACUGUAUUCACUUUAUGUUAAGUUUGAUUCUCCUUCAUGAUAAGAAGAACUCAGAAAUUCAGAGGCGGAUCCAGCAAUUUGGCAACACUGAAUUUCCUCCUUUAAAUCUAUGCUAAAUAAUCGAUUCUUGUCGGAGCUCUUGGCCCCUCUAAGAAUCGAUACAUUUCCAUAGGUUUAAAUGGAGGAAAUCUUGUGUUGCCAAGUUGCUGGAUCCGCCAAUGCAGAAAUUUCGACGUGUCCUAUCGGAUCACGUAUUUUCAUGUGUACAUUCGUAGCUAUACUAACCCUAUGACAAUUUGAUCUCAUCAAAAUUAACAACCACACUCUGUCCAGAUACACUCGAUUCUCCCAUGUAUGAUUAAGCACCUUCUUUAAAAUAGAGUUCCCAGAGGAGGAAUUUUCAUCCUUGCCUUCAGGUAGCGAAUAAUCAUUCAAAGUGUCCACUCGAAAAUUAUUGUGUUUGUAAGUACCUGUGAUAAGUGCAAAGUACGAUUUAUGACACAUUAAAUUUAUUUUUUUAAGUCUUCUCUUACAAAAUAUUCUAAUUUAUUGUUUAAGUACUUUGUUUUUUUGACAAUUAAAAUUUGUAAAAAAAUAAAGAAUUCCAUUAAAUUUCUCUUUUCUGGAUAUUUUUGUGUCACUUUUGCAGCGGCAAGCCAUUUUGGAGGAUCUUUCAGUGCCUAAAAAUAAAAAGGUAUUAUAAGGAAAGCUAUUUUUAUACAGGGUGUCCCACGUCUACCGUGCCAGGCUUUUUCCUUCAGUUAUUUAAAGGCCCGUGAAAUCAAGAGCCGCAGGGACAAAUAAAGAAUUGAUCCCUGGGAGUCCGAAUAUUCUCGUCAUAAGUUUGAAAUUAAUUUUAAAAAAAUCAGAAAGUGCGGAAAAUAACCUUAAACGACACCAAUUGUCCAAAAUCGACCUUAUCUUGUCCUAAGUCUUGACCCUUUAAUUUGAGGUACAGAAUCCCCCCUCCAUAAAAUGUCAGACCACUAAAUUAACUUAUGGAUAUUACAAACGGCUUCCGAGCUAUACACUGUUAAAAUUCAAGGAGUGAAAUUCGGUGUAUCACUGGAGUAAGUAUAGCGCCCAAAGAACGAGUGUUGGAUGAUGCGAAGUGAAAUUUACUCCGCAAGGCACUUCCUAAAAGGCAUAGAUUCCGUUCCGUAAACUUGUAAGUCACUCCGUAAAGUGAGUAAAUUUUACACCACGUUCAUGUCACUCCCGGGUUCUUUAAGCGCUUACAGACUCCGGCACCGAACUUUACUCCAAAAUUUUUAAAUGUGUAGUGGUUACGAGAGAUUUCUAAGAUAAGCGAAGCUUUGCAUCACGCAUGCAAUAAACAAAAAAACAUUAAAAAAGAUGAGGUGUCUGAUAGUAAGAAAAUGAAUCUUUGCUGCACCG